rnacentral:tRNA from 1 species
GGGGAUUUAGCUCAGUGGUAGAGCGCUUGCCUAGCAAGCACAAGGCCCUGGGUUCGGACCCAGCUCUG